rnacentral:misc_RNA from 1 species
UCCCUUCAAAAAAAAAAGGUAUACAAAGAAUACCCAGCAAAUGUUCAAGCAAACACAUCUUCUUUGAUAAAAAAGUUCAAAACAACCUAAUCCAAACCAGAAAUUCUCUGUAUGAUAUAAGCACAACGGCCAAUACACUACCCUGUAUCUUCUACUCUCCUAUAUUUACACCACUUUUUAUAUUCCAAGAGAAGAACCAUACUAUCCCCCAAUCCGCCAAAUGAAACCAUUUUGAGAAUGUAAAGGCAAAAAAAAGAAAGAAGGAAAGGUUCAUUGGUGAUAUGUAUACAAAAAGCAAAAGAAUUCUUUGAGAGAGUUUGUUGUUUAGAGAUCACGGUGGAGGACCAUAACCUGAUAAAUCAUGCCACUGAUCAGCUGGGGCGUUCAAAGGAAAGGACCCAGCAGUGAUGGUGCUAUUGUUGUUAGUGGUUCCUGUGGUGGAACUGGUGCUGAUACUCCACAAAGAGGUAUCAGAUACAGUAGGGUUAAUGGCAUUGACAAAACAUCGGUGCCAAUUUUGCUGCUGCUGCUGAGAUUGAGAAGAGCUGCCACAAAAAGGAUGGUCUCCUCUCUUGUUUUCUCUAUUACCAAUAUGGUAAAUUUGCCUUUGUUGUUGGAUUUGCUGCUGUUGUUGCGACCCAAAAGCAUUAAAACUAUUCAAAAGACUCAGAUUUGAAGUAACUCCCAAAUCACCACCCAGAUUCACUGGUUGAUUUAGACUCAAAGAUUGAGGUGGUUGGUUAUUUAAAGAUUGAAUUGUUGCUAAAGAAGUCAAGAAUCCACCACCAGAAUAAUACGAUCCCAUAGAAGAAAUUCCAGGAGGUAAAACCAAAUUACCGGAUGACUCUUUAGUCCUGAUCAAAGUUGAAGUCGCAAUAUUACCUGAAUUUGUAGUAGACAUGAUAUUCUCUGAGCUCCCCAGACUCAAAGGUUGUGGCUGCGAUUGAGACGUAGAAUUCUCAGUAAAGGAAGAAGAUGUAGAUGACGAUGAUGUUUUUCCCCGCUUUCCCUUCCGGCUACUGCCUCCUACAGGGACAUUCCUUAGGGUUCCACCUUGAGUCCAAUACCUUCUGCAGGUCUUGCAAAAGUAUCGAGGCUGAGAGAGACUGUAAUUAUUAUAAUAACAAAACUUUGUAUUGAGCGAGUCACAGCGAGGGCAUUUCUGCGGCUGGUGUUGCUGUUGCUGUUGAUUCUCCACUUGCAUCGGCUUCAGUCUCCGAUCUUGAUUCUGUUUCAUGAUCUCUUCACUCCCUCCUUGUUCUUGCUGCAUCUUUCUCAAUCUUCUUUCUUGUUUAGUGUUGGUUAUGGAUUUCUUUAUUUUUCUCAAAGAACUGUUAAGAAAUG